rnacentral:rRNA from 1 species
CACGUAGGGCGCAAGCGUUGUCCGGAAUUAUUGGGCGUAAAGAGCUCGUAGGCGGUCUGUUGCGUCCGCUGUGAAAACUCGGGGCUUAACCCCGAGCCUGCAGUGGAUACGGGCAGACUAGAGGUAGGUAGGGGAGAAUGGAAUUCCCGGUGUAGCGGUGAAAUGCGCAGAUAUCAGGAGGAACACCGGUGGCGAAGGCGGGUCUCUGGAACGCAACUGACGCUGAGACGACGAACGUGGGGAGCAAACAGG